rnacentral:snoRNA from 1 species
GGCACUGUGUGGUAUCUGCAGCCAGUUGCUCAUCAGCUGGUUUGUUCAAAAGUCAGUGCUAGACAAACUCAACAUUGGCACCGUUGGUCUCCAAUGCUGCCUGUGCCUGGAGUCCUGGUAUAUUUGUUGAAACACAU